AUCUAAUGUUUCCUUGGUUUAAUUCUUGAGCAUUUGAUUUACAGCCCAUUUGACAUUUAUUUUUUCCGAAGAGAUAUGAUAUUAGGAAAGACCUAGAAAUUAAUGAGCUAGAAAGAGAUAUGCUAUACGAUAGAACGUUAUAUCAUCGUUUGAUCCAUGUAGCUGACCCUACUUAAGUGGCAUGUGGCUUGGUUGUUGUUGACAUUUUUUUUGCAUCGCAACUGUUUUUCUUGCAGUACUAGGAUACUAAGUUUGUUGAUAUAUUUUUACCUGUCUAAGUUUUGAAACUUGGAUUUCUCCUUGAAGUAUAAAUCUAUUAGGCGUCCUAUCCGUAUGGCUUGAUAAAGUAGUGUGAUAAUUCAUAGUUGUUGCUGCAUGGCGAUCCUUGAUAUCUCAGAGAAUCACAAUCCAGUGCAGCUCAUGCAUUCUCAAUCGUGGCUGCAUUGCUGCCCCCGAGACAUAUAAAAUCUUUAUGUCACGGCCAAAUUAAGGUCAUGGACCUUUUUUGAAAACCCUGCAUUAGACUUGGCUUAUAUGUAUGGACCUGCAUCAAAUGUCUCUCUUUAACUGUUUUGUGCUAUAUAUACUUUGUGGAGUAGCAGAUCAAUGGAUACUGAAGAUGUGACAUAUAAUUAUUGUCAGCCUCUAUCUAUAGUCUCCAUAUUCUUGACUAUAUUCUUAAAACAGUUAUAGUCUACCGCGUAGUUUUUAGCUUUUGAUGUUGUUCACAUCAAUAUCUGUAGAAACCUUCCAUGCAGUCCAUCUUGGCAAAGCUAAUAACUCAUUCUGGGUAAUGUCUAGCUUUGAAUGCUAAUGGACUGAUAAAUAUUUUCCCUCCUAUAUCCAAGUUCUGUUGCCUCAUCAAUCAUGUAGUUGCAGGAUAAUCGGAGUUGAUACAUCAAACCAGAUAACAUUUCCUUUCAAUCAACCCUUCAUUAGGCAUGUAGUUGUUUUUUCUGUUCAAUAAAUUAGAGGUUUUCUUUGUUUCAUCAUCAUCAUCAUUAAAUAAUACUGGGGGAUUGUUUUCAGUUAUAGAUAAAUAGGUAUCAGAUAAUUACUAAAGGAGGGUGGCAUUGGCGUAGCUCUUCUUUUGUUCUUCUAUUGUUAGCAGUCCAUCUUGGCAAAGCUAAUAACUCUUGUUGAGUAAUGUCUAGCUUCUUUUUUGUCUUAACUCUCUGGUUUCUAGGAGAAAGGGACCAUACAUAGUAAUCUGAAGUUCAGCUAGGAGGUAAAUAAAUCCUGGUUAAUGGACUUUUUUGUUCUGUUGCUUCAUAAAUGGUGUAGCUGCAGGAUCAUUUGACUUGAUACAACAUAUGGCAUGCACUCCAAUCACUCCUUCAUUAGGUGAAUAGUGUGUCUGGUUUGAGAA